AUAAUUAGUCAUAAGCAUUGGAUUGUGACACAUUUUGACCAUAGAAACACUAACAAAGCUGUUUACUGCUUCUAAGCAAUUUUUCGUUGGUUUUAUCCUCUUUUAGGACAAAAUGGGUAUAAGUGUUGUCUAACAACUCUGAAUCCAUCUUUAACUCUUAUAAUUAGUCAAAUGCAUUGGAUUGUGACACAUUUUGAUCAAAGAAACAUUAACAAAGCUAUUGACUGUUUCUAAGCAAUUUUUUGUUGGUUUUAGCCUCUUUUGGGAGGAAAUGAGUAUAAAUAUUGUCUAAAUACUCCUUAUCCUUCUUUAACUCUUCUAAUUAUUCAUGUGCAUUGGAUUUUGACACAUUUUAACCAAGAAACACUAACAAAGCUAUUGACUGCUUCUAAGCAAUUAUUUUGUUGGUUUUAGCCUCUUUUGAAAGAAAAUGGGUGUAAAUGUUGUCUGAACACUCUUAAUCCAUCUCCAACUCCUAUAAUUAGUCAAAUGCAUUGGAUAGUGACACAUUUUGACCAUAGAAAUACUAACAAAGCUAUUUAAUGCUUCUAAGUAAUUUUUUGUUGGUUUUAUCAUCUUUUGGAAGAAAAUGGGUAUAAGUGUUGUUUAAACACUCCUAUUCCAUCUCUAACUCUUAUAAUUAUUCAAAUGCAUUGGAUUGUGACACAUUUUGACCAUAGAAACACUAACAAAGCUGUUUAUUGUU
rnacentral:sRNA from 1 species